AUACGUAGGGUGCAAGCGUUGUCCGGAAUUAUUGGGCGUAAAGAGCUCGUAGGCGGUGUGUCACGUCUGCUGUGAAAAUCCAAGGCUCAACCUUGGACUUGCAGUGGGUACGGGCACACUCGAGUGCGGUAGGGGAGAUUGGAAUUCCUGGUGUAGCGGUGGAAUGCGCAGAUAUCAGGAGGAACACCGAUGGCGAAGGCAGAUCUCUGGGCCGUAACUGACGCUGAGGAGCGAAAGCGUGGGGAGCGAACAGGAUUAGAUACCCUGGUAGUCCACGCCGUAAACGGUGGGAACUAGAUGUGGGGUCCGUUCCACGGAUUCCGUGUCGCAGCUAACGCAUUAAGUUCCCCGCCUGGGGAGUACGGCCGCAAGGCUAAAACUCAAAGGAAUUGACGGGGGCCCGCACAAGCGGCGGAGCAUGCGGAUUAAUUCGAUGCAACGCGAAGAACCUUACCAAGGCUUGACAUAUAGAGGAAAAGUGCAGAGAUGCACUCCCCGCAAGGUCUCUAUACAGGUGGUGCAUGGUUGUCGUCAGCUCGUGUCGUGAGAUGUUGGGUUAAGUCCCGCAACGAGCGCAACCCUCGUCCUAUGUUGCCAGCACGUAAUGGUGGGAACUCAUGGGAUACUGCCGGGGUCAACUCGGAGGAAGGUGGGGAUGACGUCAAAUCAUCAUGCCCCUUAUGUCUUGGGCUUCACGCAUGCUACAAUGGCCGGUACAGAGGGCAGCAAUACCGCAAGGUGGAGCGAAUCCCAGAAAGCCGGUCUCAGUUCGGAUUGAGGUCUGCAACUCGACCUCAUGAAGUCGGAGUCGCUAGUAAUCGCGAAUCAGCAACGU
rnacentral:rRNA from 1 species